rnacentral:rRNA from 1 species
UCUGGAAAGGCGCGCGAUACAGGGUGACAGCCCCGUACACAAAAAUGCACAUGCUGUGAGCUCGAUGAGUAGGGCGGGACACGUGGUAUCCUGUCUGAAUAUGGGGGGACCAUCCUCCAAGGCUAAAUACUCCUGACUGACCGAUAGUGAACCAGUACCGUGAGGGAAAGGCGAAAAGAACCCCGGCGAGGGGAGUGAAAAAGAACCUGAAACCGUGUACGUACAAGCAGUGGGAGCACGCUUAGGCGUGUGACUGCGUACCUUUUGUAUAAUGGGUCAGCGACUUAUAUUCUGUAGCAAGGUUAACCGAAUAGGGGAGCCGAAGGGAAACCGAGUCUUAACUGGGCGUUAAGUUGCAGGGUAUAGACCCGAAACCCGGUGAUCUAGCCAUGGGCAGGUUGAAGGUUGGGUAACACUAACUGGAGGACCGAACCGACUAAUGUUGAAAAAUUAGCGGAUGACUUGUGGCUGGGGGUGAAAGGCCAAUCAAACCGGGAGAUAGCUGGUUCUCCCCGAAAGCUAUUUAGGUAGCGCCUCGUGAAUUCAUCUCCGGGGGUAGAGCACUGUUUCGGCAAGGGGGUCAUCCCGACUUACCAACCCGAUGCAAACUGCGAAUACCGGAGAAUGUUAUCACGGGAGACACACGGCGGGUGCUAACGUCCGUCGUGAAGAGGGAAACAACCCAGACCGCCAGCUAAGGUCCCAAAGUCAUGGUUAAGUGGGAAACGAUGUGGGAAGGCCCAGACAGCCAGGAUGUUGGCUUAGAAGCAGCCAUCAUUUAAAGAAAGCGUAAUAGCUCACUGGUCGAGUCGGCCUGCGCGGAAGAUGUAACGGGGCUAAACCAUG